UACGGAAGGCAGCAGUGGGGAAGUAUUGCACAAUGGGCGAAAGCCUGAUGCAGCUAUGCCGCGUGUAUGAAGAAGGCCUUAGGGUUGUAAAGUACUUUCAUCGGGGAGGAAAAAACAAAACUAAUAAUUUUAUUUCUUGACGUUACCCGAAAAAGAAGCACCGGCUAACUCCGUGCCAGCAGCCGCGGUAAUACGGAGGGUGCUAGCGUUAAUCAGAAUUACUGGGCGUAAAGAGCACGUAGGUGGUUUUUUUAAAGUCAGAUGUGAAAUCCCUGGGCUUAACCUAGGAACUGCAUUUUGAAACUGAAAUACUAGAGUAUCGUAGAGGGAGGUAGAAUUCUAGGUGUAGCGGUGAAAUGCGUAGAUAUCUGGAGGAAUACCUGUGGCGAAAGCGGCCUCCUAAACGAAUACUGACACUGAGGGUGCGAAAGCGUGGGGAGCAAACAGGGAUUAGAUACC
rnacentral:rRNA from 1 species